GCGGUGGGGCUGGCUGGUAGGCAAUGAGUCAUGGACUCCAGUACCUGCUGUUGUGGUUGGAUCUGGUCAGUGGGGAACCCUAGCAAAAGCUGCCCCCAGAUGACUUCCAGGGAGCAAUCUCCACCGAAGAAAUAAUGGCCAUCAUUUGAUUCUAUCCAAAAAUGAAAAUGAACCCUCUUACGGUCUUCCCAAGGACUGUUCCACAAUGGAAAAUGGCUUCAAAUCAGUGCAUGUCACAUAUGGCCAUUCACUCCCAGGCCCUCACAGAGCCUUGAAGAAGGCAGUAAGGAAAUCUGGCUGCAUUUCCCAGGAACCCUGUUGUCAUGACCUCUCCUUGAUGCCGGGAUGCAGACGUCCAGACUCGCUCUCGGGACCCGGUCAGCUGCGUUUCUUCAUUCGGAGCGGUGACUGGUAUCCUUCAGGGCGCGUGCACCGCAUGUCACUCGGCGUCUGGACACUGGCGAGAAUAGAAGUCAGUGGGAGAGCAGUGGCGGGACUGAGGGGCUUUCCUGGCUCUCUGGCGUCAGGCCAUUGACGGGAACUACCUAUUCCUGCUACUUGCUUUCGCAGGCAUCUGGCCUCAUGAGCCUUUGUGAGCCCCUCAGGGCCCGUGGCCUAUCCUUGUGUGGUACACCCUCACCUGGGUACUGCCGCACCCAGACUUCACUGCUCUGACAUGGCUGACAACAUGCCCACAGCUGAGUCUUCCUCUUACCCCGCCAAUUCUGGGAACAGCUCACUGUGCUUCUGUGGCUUCUGUGGCCUGUGGAGGAUGGUGCCUGCCCACCAUGGGUCACACAUGGGCCUGAUGUCUAUACCUGCGGCCCAUGACCAUGGCCAGGAUUAAGGGCAGCAGACUGCACCAGUGACAUCAUUCCUGAACCUUCUCCACCCACGCCCUCUGAGUGGACUGGAAGCAUCCUUGAGCUGAAGUGAACAACUGUUUGACCAUUCCCUGCACACCUCCCUUCUCAGUAAUGGCCAGGAUGUAAGAAUCAAGGAAGACGGCUAUACUGGUCUUGGGAAGAGUCCAAACAAGUUCUGCCAGCCCAAAGUAAUGUUCAAUCAUCUCCCCACCUGUUUGUCAGCCAAUAUUUCCACAACUCUCCACAUGACAAGUGGGGGAACUGAGGGCUCACUAAUUAGCACUCAGAACAGAAAACAGGACUGGGGCAGGAGGUCCUCCUUCAUGGCCUGAAUAAGCCCCAACCCCAUUUCCUACAGGUAGAGGCCUCCAGGGUAAUAGCCAGGCUGAACCCAAAACUUUGCAUCAGCUCCUCCUGGCCUAUGAGGCCCCAGGCAAAAGCUCUCUCUCCUCACCAAUGACUAUGCUUUUUCUCCUUCCCUCUCCUGAGCCCGAGGAGACACAACAAACCAAUCAAAACCUGAACAAAUGAGGAUGCCAAAGCUUACUUGAACAUUCAAAGAUCAAUGUAAUUAUAAGCAUCUUUGUACUUUGAACCAACUAUUUCAUUAUUAAUGUGGAAUUAAAACCUGUUCUGAACCCUCAUAAUCGGGUAACUGUUCUGUCAUCAUAUUUACUGAUAUGACCCUAAUAUCGACC